CAAUUCGAGCGGCUUUCAACGAUUAUAUCUACCGGCUUCUUUAAAUUCGAGUUGAUAUGUUGUUUGAAUGCCCCUUGAAACG
rnacentral:pre_miRNA from 1 species